UAAAAGAGAAAAUGGUCCAAAACAUUCUUACUAAUGUAAAUAGAAAGUGAUGUACAUUUUUCUACAAAUAAGUCCUUUGGUUUUUCAACCCAAAAAGUAACUUGUGCCAUUCUGCAAAGCAGUUCCUUUUCUGUAAUGACACAGAGGAGUAAACUGUGUCAGUAGUAGUAGUAGGAGUAAACAGGAGGAUUGAUCAUUUUAAAAUCUUUGUCUUUCUUCAAAAUGUUCAACCAGUCAACAUCACAUUGUCUGAUUGGUACAAAGUCUGUUACAAAGCCUCAAAGAUCCAAAAAUGGACGUCUAGUAGACUGCUAACAAAAGUAGCAGUUUUUCGUCCUGGAAAACGGGAUAAAUUAUCAUAAAAGUCAUUAAAUGUUGGAUUUAUCAUCAUGGACAUAUUGUAAAAAGUCUCCAAAAAAACACUGAAGUUCCAGGCCAAACUUCAAAUAUUCUGAAAGGGCCAUGGAAUCGCACAGAGGCCCUGCCCAGAAUGGCGCAAAUGUGAGCUUCUCGUCAAAACAAACAGUAAGUUGCCGGCAUUAACUGAUCAAAUGCUAUGAGAACCUUUAUAAUAAGAUGCAUUUCCUGUUGUGUUCACUGCCAAACUUUGUGUGCGUGGUAUAUAUCCAGAGAACUUUAUACAAACAUCAAAAAAGACGAUUUUGGGCUUUUUCAACCGAGGAGGGUUAGGGGCUACUUGCCCAACCAUGUCUGGGUUCUACUUAGUACUGCUCAGCUGUUUCCAGUCAGGUUCAACAAUGGCACAGUUUCGUUAGCUGACCGGUAACAAAGUGGCGUGUACCCCCUCAUGUGAGAGGUGACGGAGAAAUGAUCCCGGCGUAUGUCUUACCAGCCAUUGUCUUCUCUGGUCGGGAUGGGUUGGAAACCGGUGAAAAACUUAUUACGCCAUUAAAUUUCGAUGACGCUGAACAAAGUGGGACACAGCAGUGCUCUGAGUACUUCUUCAUCUGUUUUUGAAAAUGUCCUGUUUGGAAGUUUUCCUGCGUAGACUCAUGACAAAACUCUGAAUGAAGCAGUCACAGUAGCGGUAAACUUUUGUUAAUGUAGUCCAUUGCAUUGUGCUGGAAAAGUAUGGAGGCUCCAUCAUUGCAAAUGUGGAUAAAGGAACUUUCAGAUAGUAUUGGUCUUGAAAGACUGCUGACAUUGCUAAGGGAAAGCGAAAAUACCUUUUUCACCUUCUGGAACCAUUUAUGAGCAGCAUCAGCGAUGGAAGUUUUAGGCAACAAACAGUUUUUAGUUUAGUAAUUUAUCUAUUUAUUUUUACUGUAUUUUUAAUUUAAUUUAAAUGAAAAUGUAAUUUAAUUUAAUUGAUAAACUGUCUGUUUGUGCUAGUUGAGUGUGUGUUUGUGAAUAGGGGUCUGUGUCUGGGAACUGUCUGGUUUCAAAUGGUUGUAUUGUUACUGUAUGCUGUAUGAUGUUGUGUAAAAAAAAAUUUAAAAUGAUGAACAGAUUUGACAAAAAAACUAACUGAUUUUUCAGAUUAGUUUCACGCAAUUUAACCUUUUAACAGUGUGGGUAAAUACAAAACAAGUUUGUUCAAUUUUUGAGACCAACCAAAAAGUUGAUUUUGAGUUUUUCAUGAUGUUAGAUGUGGAUUGAUGAGUCUGAGACACCGUGAGCCUGAAAGGCACUCCAUUCAAAUCAUUUGUUCAGCAGCUCAGAGCAACUUGACAGUCAACUGAUGAUUAAUUGUCCUUGUUGUCUGUGCCUCAAGGGGCUGCUUCAUCAGUUUCAAACAUCCUGUUAGUUUCCCUUUUAAAUUGAGUCAAACUGAAUCAGCCUGAAGUUUGUUGAAGUUCGAACCAGUCAGGUUGAGUCAGCUCCAGCUUUCCAGCUUUGAUAAGUUGCAUCUGAGCCAUAUUCUGUUUCUUAACUCUCCUCGAGUUGCAUACUUUUCCAAUAUACAUAGCAGCAGUUUGAGGAGGUUAAAUGUAAGGCUCUUCUUACAGGUGAAAUCAACAUUAUCUGGAGGAUUCCACAAGGCUUGAGAGUGUUUGUUUCCGCCAGCUGUGGACUAUGUGGCAAUGACCUGAAAGUCCUUGCAGUGGGAUCAGCGGUGGCAGGCUACUUUAAAGCUGUUGUGCUCUCCUUCAAAGCCCCAGCAGGGCGCUGGUCUCUGAGCUGUACCACCGGCUGGCAGGGGCUCAGGUCUCUCUAACCCUGAAAAUCCUCAUGACGAUCGAGCAAUGCUUUACUCUCCUCACUCUCUUGCGAAGCGAUGAGCCGCUUGGAUUGAAUUAUGACUGUACCCUGGCUUUGAAGGAAACAUCAAAGGUUAGUUUUGGAUGAAGAGUUAACACCUUCUUCACCCUAUUAAAGAAAAAGAAGACUGUUGUCUUUGUAUAUAAUCAUCUCCUGAUUUUCUGAAGCUCUGUGGUGUCAAGUCGUUCUUUUUACUUUUGUGUAACAUAUUUGAGAGUUAAACUCUCCCACAAAUGAGCAGGAGCAGGUAGCCUCAAGUGAAAAAUUGGGAUUGUCGAUUAUUGAGGGAUUAGUAUCGCUCCUCUCACCAAGCAACCAACCAAGCAACCCAAUAAUCACUCUAUUUGUUUUCCAGUUUUCCCCUUUUUUUCUUUUUUAGUUUAAUGUGGAUACUUGUGUUAUGUGGGUGAACAAUGGCGUCUACCCCCCGAUUUUUUCUUACAAAAUCAAUAAAAUUCAAGAGAAAAGUGUCUUAACAUACAUCAAAGGCUAAAAACAAAUAUCAGACACACAAAUACCUCACGAUACACACAAGCAGAUACACACACACUCUGGCUGAGGUCCCAAUGCCACAGGUAAGAAUAAUAAUCUCACAAGACAGUAAAGAUAUAAAAAUGUCUGAAGUUAAUGUACAGUAAUGCAAUUGAUGUGAUUAGAUAUUAAAGCAAGAAUCUGUUGUUCACUCAGCCAGUGAAAUUUGAACAGACCAAAGCAUAGUGGGAAAAAAAUAUGGAUUUUAAGCCAAAACUUGAUAAACUCAGCCACAACCUCAGUGGCAGUAUAUUCCAAAAGAAAGAUGUGUCGCCACUAGCAGUUCCUCCUCGCCAAGCCUCUGCUCACCUCUGGCCAAAAAGGCUCUGCUCCCCCAUCCUCACUAACAACAUCAGUUUGUUCUAUUGCUAUCUUCAAAGUAUUAUUUGUUAAAAUUGUAAAACUCUUAGCAAACCAGCCUCCAGAGAAUGCAAAGGGUGUGAUUAAAGUAUAUGGACUAAUCAGAGAGAGACCACACUAGCAAAUAUCAGCUUAAACAAGCACUUCAUGACAAGUCUGUGGAGUUAAGUGCAUCUGACGUGAGGGGUGAUGAAUUAAUAAAGACAGCCAUUUAGGGUAAGAAAAUGAAAAUGUUCUUCCUAUUGAGUUUGUCUUGAUGCUGAAGGAAACCUCAUGGGGUGUCUAAAAUGUAAAGAGUUUGUGAAGUCACACAUGGUUGAUGUGCACAUGAAAUAUUAUAUAAUACUUAGAUAUUUACAACUGAUGCACUGUUGUGCAUGAUGCGCAGGGCAGCCAUACGUAGUUAAAAGCAAGUAUUUCUCUUCCCUUAGAGGAUAGGUCAGACGUUAAAUCAGAAUGAAGAAUUAUGAGGUUUUGUUUUUUUCUUGACCAAAUUGUUGCAUAGACAAAAUGACCAAUGCUGCUAACAGGGCAACAAAAGGAGAUACACAAACCCGGGAGGGGGAGGCAGAGGAAGAGUUGUGAAGUCAGUAGAGCUGGGGCACUGAGUCAGCAAUAAAGCUGGAGUGUGCCUGCUGAUAUACUGCAGGACUCCACUGGGCUACGGCCUCAUAAGCCCACCACACCCCCUCGGGUCAGGAUCACACAGGGCUAAUACAUGUUAAAUGGCGCUUAAUUCUUUUGUUAUACAUCAUUUCGAGUUGUUCAGAGGUGUUUUUACGCUUAUCACUCGCCAUCUGCAGAUCGGUGUCACAUCAGUGUCUGCGUGCGCUAACUCACACGGUGCUGAUGUGAUCUGUGAAGAAUUGGGCCAAAGGAAAAUCGCAGCAGCUAAUAUGAUGCACAGACAAAAGCUAAUUCUUUUAGUGUUGUGCAGCAAGGAACAGGACGAGGCUUUGUGGUCAGUGAUAGAGGACUGGGAGGCAUUUUAUGGACUAUAAAGGUGAUUCUGUUGGGAUUGUGGAUACCUGGCUCUGUUUAUGGUCCACUCGUCAUAUGCAGGAUGGAAUGUGUGUGCUGCUUGUCCCCUCCUUUGCUCUCUCAGUUUAGAUUGUGCUGCUGGCCGGGCCUGACUACCGGUUCCUGCCCCUCCCACCAAUCACCUGCUACUGUAUAUAAUCUCCGGAAUGAUCACCACUUCCGUACCAGAAUGUGACCUUACCUCUUGACUCUCAGUUCCCCAGCACUAGACUCUGGAAUUCCCCUUUCCCUUCGUGAUUUCCUGUGCCAUUUGGUUUGAUAGGUUUGGGUCUGUUAGCCUCUUUAUUUUUUGUACAUUCUUCGUUCAUUCACUUAUACGCAGAUCUUUGUAAGUAAAUAUCCCUUUGAUUCUUAUUUUUAACUUAUCCUUGCGUCCUGCUCUGUAUCUGUAUUUUAAGUCCUGAACCAUUUGCCAGCCUGACAUGAACUGAUUUCAUUUCCAAGAUGGAAAACCCCCAAACUAGUCACAAUAAUAGAAAAUAGCCUCCUCUUUUUGACAAGGUUAAUGUACAUUUCAAGUACUUCCCUUUACGUAGGUUGAAGCUUUUACAUGGCUUAGGAAAAGUUGUAAAGAACUCAAAAAGCAUUUGGUUUUGUUGGUCGUGAGGUUUUGUGUUGAGCCUACUGAGCUCAUACUGCCCAGAGGAGAUUUAUUGGGUUAUAGCCCAACUUUUCCAAUAUACGACAUACAUAAAUGAGUUACAUGUACAUCAUUACUUUCACCUCCGUUUACUACGUACAUGGUUUCUUUGUAUUUUGUUUCGUUCUUUAUUUUGUCUGCCUCCAUUUCUUGCCGCAGGAAAUAAUCGGGAUGCUGCAAACACAGAACAAGUAAUGUGAUGAAUUCAGCAUAAUAGGAAAGGAAACUUUAAUCUGGCGGACAAAGUUAUUGCGGUGAAUCAAGUUCAGACUGUCAUGUCUUAAGGCCUGAUCUUUGUCUCCUUAUAUAGUCAUCCUGUAUUGUACUAUUUUUUGUCCCUUUCAUCAGUGAUAUUUGUUUUUAAUGUUGUAUUCAUGAUGUUUGUUUGUAAUUUUUUAACUGUUGCAACCCUAUUUCCCCUCGGACGGGUGUCAUCAUUGCCUUUUAUUAUUAUUUCUCUCUGUUUCACAAUAAAUGGUAUUUUUGUUUGAAGAUGUUUCACAACAAAAAGCCUCCGAGCAAAGAAUCUGGAGACAGAUCUGAAAACGGAACACAUGCAGAUCAGUCAUGAUGAUGAAUAAUGAUAUACAAUGUCAACUGUGUCUCUGCUUUGUCAAGUCUAACAAAAUAACCCUGAUUAUGUAACAGUGAUGUCAUCAGGGUUCUCUUUGACAGAGAUGACAAAUUUCAUGACCUGCGUUACAAACUUUGGGCCUGUAGAUGUGGGCAUUUACCAGGGAUGAAGGGAUUAACAACACGUGCUAUAGGUGCUACACAGUUCGACCCAUAAGGGUCAGAAUAUGUCAGCCUCUUCAGCUUCAGUUGUCACGAUUUUAAAAAAAAGUCCUGUCUAUUGAAUGUCCCUUAGCGUUAUUAAAGUAUAAAUGGAACAAAUUUGAAAAGAGGGAGACUUUAUAUAAGCUUAAAAAACCUCAUACCUGAAUAAAGGUCAGUCUCAAAUAAAAGCCCUCACUUGUCAAAUUCUAUGACUAACACAAUUUAAUGCAAUGGAGCAUGACAAUGUUUCUUGAAAUAUAAUAUAAUAAAAUAUUUUGUGCAAAAAGA